UGGCUCAGAUUGAACGCUGGCGGCAGGCCUAACACAUGCAAGUCGAACGGUAACAGNGGAGCAGCUUGCUGCUCUGCUGACGAGUGGCGGACGGGUGAGUAAUGUCUGGGAAACUGCCUGAUGGAGGGGGAUAANUACUGGAAACGGUAGCUAAUACCGCAUAACGUCUUCGGACCAAAGUGGGGGACCUUCGGGCCUCAUGCCAUCAGAUGUGCCCAGAUGGGAUUAGCUAGUAGGUGGGGUAAAGGCUCACCUAGGCGACGAUCCCUAGCUGGUCUGAGAGGAUGACCAGCCACACUGGAACUGAGACACGGUCCAGACUCCUACGGGAGGCAGCAGUGGGGAAUAUUGCACAAUGGGCGCAAGCCUGAUGCAGCCAUGCCGCGUGUAUGAAGAAGGCCUUCGGGUUGUAAAGUACUUUCAGCGAGGAGGAAGGGAUUGUGGUUAAUAACCGCAGUCAUUGACGUUACUCGCAGAAGAAGCACCGGCUAACUCCGUGCCAGCAGCCGCGGUAAUACGGAGGGUGCAAGCGUUAAUCGGAAUUACUGGGCGUAAAGCGCACGCAGGCGGUUUGUUAAGUCAGAUGUGAAAUCCCCGGGCUCAACCUGGGAACUGCAUUUGAAACUGGCAGGCUUGAGUCUCGUAGAGGGGGGUAGAAUUCCAGGUGUAGCGGUGAAAUGCGUAGAGAUCUGGAGGAAUACCGGUGGCGAAGGCGGCCCCCUGGACGAAGACUGACGCUCAGGUGCGAAAGCGUGGGGAGCAAACAGGAUUAGAUACCCUGGUAGUCCACGCCGUAAACGAUGUCGACUUGGAGGUUGUGCCCUUGAGGCGUGGCUUCCGGAGCUAACGCGUUAAGUCGACCGCCUGGGGAGUACGGCCGCAAGGUUAAAACUCAAAUGAAUUGACGGGGGCCCGCACAAGCGGUGGAGCAUGUGGUUUAAUUCGAUGCAACGCGAAGAACCUUACCUGGUCUUGACAUCCAGAGAAUCCUGCAGAGAUGCGGGAGUGCCUUCGGGAACUCUGAGACAGGUGCUGCAUGGCUGUCGUCAGCUCGUGUUGUGAAAUGUUGGGUUAAGUCCCGCAACGAGCGCAACCCUUAUCCUUUGUUGCCAGCACGUGAUGGUGGGAACUCAAAGGAGACUGCCGGUGAUAAACCGGAGGAAGGUGGGGAUGACNUCNAGUCAUCAUGGCCCUUAC
rnacentral:rRNA from 1 species